GCCAGGUGCGGUGGCACACACCUGUAAUCCCAGCAACUCAGGAGGCUGAGGCAGGAGGAUCACAAGUUUGAGGCCAGCAUGGGCAAUUUAGGAAGAUCCUAUCUCAA
rnacentral:sRNA from 1 species